AAAGACCUCCAGGAGUACCCGGAUCUCUGACGCCCAACGGACAGCCCUGACUUUUGUUGACUUGUUGCCCUUUGCUACUGCGAUCUGGUUUUUCUACUGAGAUAAAGCGUCUUGUUUCGUUGCCUGUCAUUGUGUCUCCCGUAACUCGUUCAGAUUGCCCAUUGGCUCGUCGUCCAGUACAUCUCCGGGCAGCAAAGAACUAGCCUCAGAUAUGUCAGGAAAAUCUCGGAUGGAGCCCCUUCGUGCUGAAACGGAGAGGUCUGGAGAAAAUCUGAGGGAUUGGAUGGAUUUCGGGUCUUACAGGGAACUGUAUUCAGCUCUAUGUACACAUUAGAACCAUUUGGGGAGUUUAGGGUAGGGCUUGAACAUAGACGCUUUUUACUAAAGGCGUUCCCCUCAUCCCAGCCCGUCUCCACCUCCUAGGUUCUAUUGUGCAAACAGGAUUGACAACUACUGUUCUGUGAUUUUGGGGAACAAGAAAUUGGCCAGGGAAAAGGACUGUGAAAAACUACCUCACGACAUCAGAUAACGGCCCAGAAGUGGAAGAAUGAUUGCUAUAUCUU